rnacentral:rRNA from 1 species
CAGCACCUCAAGUGGUUAGGAUGAUUAUUGGGCCUAAAGCAUCCGUAGCCGGCUCUGUAAGUUUUCGGUUAAAUCUGUACGCUCAACGUACAGGCUGCCGGGAAUACUGCAGAGCUAGGGAGUGGGAGAGGUAGACGGUACUCGGUAGGAAGGGGUAAAAUCCUUUGAUCUAUUGAUGACCACCUGUGGCGAAGGCGGUCUACCAGAACACGUCCGACGGUGAGGGAUGAAAGCUGGGGGAGCAAACCGGAUUAGAGACCCGAGUAGUCC